UACGUAGGGUGCGAGCGUUAAUCGGAAUUACUGGGCGUAAAGCGUGCGCAGGCGGUUUUGUAAGCCAGAUGUGAAAUCCCCGGGCUUAACCUGGGAAUGGCAUUUGGGACUGCAAGGCUUGAGUGCGGCAGAGGGGGAUGGAAUUCCGCGUGUAGCAGUGAAAUGCGUAGAUAUGCGGAGGAAUACCGAUGGCGAAGGCAAUCCCCUGGGCCUGCACUGACGCUCAUGCACGAAAGCGUGGGGAGCAAACAGG
rnacentral:rRNA from 1 species